UACCCUGGUAGUCCACGCCGUAAACGAUGCUAACUCGUUUUUGGGUUUUCGGAUUCAGAGACUAAGCGAAAGUGAUAAGUUAGCCACCUGGGGAGUACGUUCGCAAGAAUGAAACUCAAAGGAAUUGACGGGGGCCCGCACAAGCGGUGGAUUAUGUGGUUUAAUUCGAUGAUACGCGAGGAACCUUACCAAGGCUUAAAUGGGAAUUGAUCGGUUUAGAAAUAGACCUUCCUUCGGGCAAUUUUCAAGGUGCUGCAUGGUUGUCGUCAGCUCGUGCCGUGAGGUGUUAGGUUAAGUCCUGCAACGAGCGCAACCCCUGUUACUAGUUGCUACCAUUAAGUUGAGGACUCUAGUAAGACUGCCUACGCAAGUAGAGAGGAAGGUGGGGAUGACGUCAAAUCAUCACGGCCCUUACGCCUUGGGCCACACACGUAAUACAAUGGCAGGUACAGAGGGCAGCUACACAGCGAUGUGAUGCGAAUCUCGAAAGCCUGUCUCAGUUCGGAUUGGAGUCUGCAACUCGACUCUAUGAAGCUGGAAUCGCUAGUAAUCGCGCAUCAGCCAUGGCGCGGUGAAUACGUUCCCGGGCCUUGUACACACCGCCCGUCAAGCCAUGGAAGUCUGGGGUACCUGAAGUCGGUGACCGUAAAAGGAGCUGCCUAGGGUAAAACAGGUAACUAGGGCUAAGUC
rnacentral:rRNA from 1 species